rnacentral:rRNA from 1 species
UGCCUACGGGAGGCAGCAGUGGGGAAUAUUGCACAAUGGGGGAAACCCUGAUGCAGCGACGCCGCGUGAGUGAGGAAGUAUUUCGGUAUGUAAAGCUCUAUCAGCAGGGAAGAAAAUGACGGUACCUGACUAAGAAGCCCCGGCUAACUACGUGCCAGCAGCCGCGGUAAUACGUAGGGGGCAAGCGUUAUCCGGAUUUACUGGGUGUAAAGGGUGCGUGGGUGGCAGGGCAAGUCAGAUGUGAAAGUCCGGGGCUCAACCCCGGGACUGCAUUGGACACUGUCCGGCUAGAGUGCAGGAGAGGG